rnacentral:rRNA from 1 species
CCUACGGGUGGCAGCAGUGGGGAAUAUUGGACAAUGGGCGAAAGCCUGAUCCAGCCAUGCCGCGUGUGUGAAGAAGGCCUUCGGGUGGUAAAGCACUUUCAGUGGGGAAGAAAGCCUUGGGGCUAAUACCCUCGAGGAAGGACAUCACCCACAGAAGAAGCACCGGCUAACUCCGUGCCAGCAGCCGCGGUAAUACGGAGGGUGCGAGCGUUAAUCGGAAUUACUGGGCGUAAAGCGCGCGUAGGCGGUCUGAUAAGCCGGUUGUGAAAGCCCCGGGCUCAACCUGGGAACGGCAUCCGGAACUGUCAGGCUAGAGUGCAGGAGAGGAAGGUAGAAUUCCCGGUGUAGCGGUGAAAUGCGUAGAGAUCGGGAGGAAUACCAGUGGCGAAGGCGGCCUUCUGGACUGACACUGACGCUGAGGUGCGAAAGCGUGGGUAGCAAACAGGAUUAGAUACCCUAGUAGU